GUCGAGCGAAUGGAUUGAGAGCUUGCUCUCAAGAAGUUAGCGGCGGACGGGUGAGUAACACGUGGGUAACCUGCCCAUAAGACUGGGAUAACUCCGGGAAACCGGGGCUAAUACCGGAUAAYAUUUUGAACUGCAUGGUUCGAAAUUGAAAGGYGGCUUCGGCUGUCACUUAUGGAUGGACCCGCGUCGCAUUAGCUAGUUGGUGAGGUAACGGCUCACCAAGGCAACGAUGCGUAGCCGACCUGAGAGGGUGAUCGGCCACACUGGGACUGAGACACGGCCCAGACUCCUACGGGAGGYAGCAGUAGGGAAUCUUCCGCAAUGGACKAAAGUCUGACGGAKCAACGCCGCGUGAGUGAUGAAGGCUUUCGGGUCGUAAAACUCUGUUG
rnacentral:rRNA from 1 species